rnacentral:rRNA from 1 species
AAAGGGUGCGUAGGCGGCCUGUUAAGUCAGGGGUGAAAGACGGUAGCUCAACUAUCGCAGUGCCCUUGAUACUGAUGGGCUUGAAUGGACUAGAGGUAGGCGGAAUGAGACAAGUAGCGGUGAAAUGCAUAGAUAUGUCUCAGAACACCGAUUGCGAAGGCAGCUUACUAUGGUCCUAUUGACGCUGAGGCACGAAAGCGUGGGGAUCAAACAGGAUUAGAUACCCCUGU